CACAGCUGGCACGUACAAUAUGUUAAAAACACGUGGUAAAACAUUGUAAUGUUUGAUUCGAAAAAAUAGCAUUGUGAUGUUUGAAAUUUGUAGUUGUUUUCUUCCUCAUCAGGAACCAAGUCGCGGUGUGAAUCCCGAUGAGUCGGUGGCGUAUGGGGCCGCCGUGCAGGGGGCGGUACUGAGUGGGGCUGACCAGGUCGGUGACGUACUGGUGGUUGACGUCAAUCCACUAACCCUGGGGAUAGAGACAGUGGGCGGGGUCAUGACCAAACUUAUUCCUCGCAACUCACCAAUUCCCAACAGAAAAUCGCAAAUAUUCUCGACGGCUGUCGACAACCAACCGUCCGUAACCAUUCAGGUAUAUGAAGGAGAAAGGAACAAUGACGAAAAAUAACCACCUCCUGGGAACAUUCGAGUUGACUGGCAUACCCCCGGCGCCGAGAGGAGUACCCCAAAUCGAGGUCACGUUUGAAAUUGAUGCCAACAGCAUAUUGACCGUGUCGGCAGAAGACAAGGGGACCGGAAGUAAGAAUAAAAUUCACGAUUCAGAAUGACAAUAACAGGAUAUCCCCAGAGGAAAUAGAAAAAAUGAUAAAAGAUGCGGAAACCUUUGCGGAAGAGGACAAACGGGUGAAAGAAACCGUGGAUGCUAAGAAUGACCUAGAACAUUUUGCUUAUUCACUGAAAAAUCAGAUCAGUGAUAAGGGACAGCUUAAGUGAAAAACUAAGUGAAGAUGAUAAAAAGGUCAUCCAAGAGGCUGUAGAGUCCACGAUUAGCUGGAUUGAAUCUCAUCCUAGUGCCGAACUCGAUGAACUCAAAGAAAAGAAAUCAGAGUUGGAGAAUAUUGUGCAACCAAUCACAAGCAAACUUUACCAAGGAAAUUCGGGUUCAAAAUCCGAGGACCGGGAGGAUCUGUGAUGACGUCAUCGACCAUCCGCAAUCUGUGAUUUCAUACAAACAUUGUCAUUAACUCUGUGUAGUGUGUUCAUUCAUCGUCAUUCAUCGAUAUCCACAACUCCUUGAUCUCUCUCGAGUCUUUCAGACAGAGUUCACGUUUGUUCAUGUGUUACAUAACUUAUUUACUUGUAUAUGCAAAGAUUCGUUACCUCUGUACUUAUGUUGUUGGUUAUUUAUUUACACAAACGUGUAAAUAUUGUUUUACAAUAAAAUUAUUAAAAAUACAC
rnacentral:misc_RNA from 1 species